rnacentral:rRNA from 1 species
AAGUGAGAAUCUUGUCCACCGAAUGCCUAAGGUUUCCUGAGGAAGGCUCGUCCGCUCAGGGUUAGUCGGGACCUAAGCCGAGGCUGAAAAGCGUAGGCGAUGGCCAACAGGUUGAUAUUCCUGUACCACCUCCCCGCCGUUUGAGUAAUGGGGGGACGCAGUAGGAUAGGGUAAGCGCGCUGCUGGAUAUGCGCGUUCAAGCAGUUAGGCUGAUGAGUAGGCAAAUCCGCUCAUCAUAAAGGCUGAGCUGUGAUGACGAGGGAAUUAUAGUACCGAAGUUCCUGAUUCCACACUGCCAAGAAAAGCCUCUAGCGAGGCGGGAGGUGCCCGUACCGCAAACCGACACAGGUAGGCGAGGAGAGAAUCCUAAGGUGAUCGAGAGAACUCUCGUUAAGGAACUCGGCAAAAUGACCCCGUAACUUCGGGAGAAGGGGUGCUCUGGUAGGGUGUAUAGCCCGAGAGAGCCGCAGUGAAUAGGCCCAGGCGACUGUUUAGCAAAA